rnacentral:lncRNA from 1 species
ACAAUUUUUUUCGUUUAAGAUUUUCAAAUUUUAUUUGUUCAAUCAGAUAUAACAAUAUAGCAAGGAAACAGUGUAUCAUAUCAGAAGUAGAAUAAUUACAUGUUACAUGACUCGGAAUACACGUGCAACACACGUGCCAAAGAACUAGUAUAUAAAGAAAAGGAAUCUCCAAAAGGAGAAACCCUAAGCAUUCAAAUCAAAGCAAUAGAGAAGAGGAAGCUGUAAAGAUGACUCGAAAGGCAAAUCGUAUCAAAGGUAUCUGUUUCUUUCUGCUUGAUCUCUGUGUAUUUUCUGCUUAUUUGUAUUUUUUUUUUCGUGUUCUUUUUACCCCUUGUGAUCAGGAGGUCACGGGUUCAAGCGUUGAAAACAGCCUUUGGCAGAAAUGCAAGGUAAGGCUGCGUACAAUACACCCUUGUGGUGGGGCCCUUCCCCGGACACCGCGCAUAACGGUAGCUUAGUGCACCCGGCUGCCCUUUUCCUCUUCUUACCCCUUGUAAAGGUGGUAUCUGAGUUAGCUUUGACGUACUAACUCCAUAGGCGGGCGAGCUAGAUUACUAGUUACUAAUUCAGCAAAAUUCAGUAAUUUUGGAAAAAUCCAGUAUUUGUGUUGAGCAUCUAUUUAAUAUGUAUAAUAAUUUUACCAGAACCCAACAAGUUACCUUUUCUAGCAUCUAGAACUCAUAAACUUAAGAUUCUAGAUCCGCCUCUGCGCGGUGCUGCUAAUGUCUUAUGGUCUAUAUGAAAUUAAUAAGCACAAUCUUUAAUUGAAGGGAAGAGAGCUACGAAGCAUUUUGAGGAAACAAUU